GCCCUGACGCAGCGCGAGAUUAGAGCUCCCGCUAGUCUCCAGCUGACCCUGGGCCUCAAAGGCAAGCCCUGAGCUCAGUCACACGGGGUGGCGGUGAUAUGGUUUGGCUCUGUGUGCUUCACUCUGCCUCACUCGCCUUCCGCCUGCUCGACGCUGCCCUGUUCCCCGCAGGCGGCCGCCGUGGAGGGCAGGCACCGCGCUCCCUGGCUGCUCCCGGGGCCUUCCAAGCACAGCCACGGCCAUGAGGCAGAAACCGAGACCUUCAGGGGCCUGCGGGCGGAGCUCCACAAGCCCAGCUGCUACACUGAAGGGAAAAACCUGAGGAAGCCCCUGACCUUCUUGAAUAACCUGGAUAUUGCAGAAUCAAGCCUGGCACACGGCACUGGCAGAGACGCAGAAGGGAAAGUGUCCAGCGAUGAGAGAUACCGGCCAGGGGGCAGAUCUUCAGCUUGCAGCACUCACUUUGCAGAUCCAGUUGGAAUUAUUUGUGUUGACGCUCUCUGCUCUCUCCGCUCUCCCCUGGAAAUGACGAGGAACUGAGUACAGUGGACAAUGGCUUCCGUGUCCCCAGCUCCCCCCGAGCCAUGAGCUGCUACAUCAAAGGUCUGCAGUGGGCUUCCCUUCCCAUAAUAUUUCAAUUUAAGCACCGACUCGCUGCUGCGGAAUCACAUCUCAUUCACGCUGCGGCCUUUGCAGGAGUCAGGGAUCAUUAUGGAGCAAGCACUGAGAAAAAACAGAUUACAGCCUGGCACCGAGCAGCCAGGUUGCACCCCAGAUGCUUCAGGGACAUGGUGCCUGCUCUGGAGAAUGGGGCAGCUUCCACAGUGCCCAGGAGCCAGGGCUUCUGACCCAGGAGCGAAAGUCUGUCUCUUCCAUUUCUGGGAGCUGGAAGUAUUUGCAUGACUUUCUGGGCCUCAGGUAUCCCAUUGCCCACCAGGAAUUACCUUCCUCCAGGAUCAUGGUGAAGAUGACAUGAGAUGCUAAUGCUUGGCCUGCGGUUGCUAUUUUUAGUUCUCCACUUUCCUGGAAAGCAUGCAGUUGAAGUUCAUGACGGUAUUCUCCCAACGUGUGACUCAAAGACAGAGGCCGUUUCCCACCCACCGGUUCUCACACUGCCCCAUUCUGCAGCUUCACCAUCCAUGCGCUAAGAAGGCAGGCCCCAAAGUCUCAGCACCCAGCCACUGGGGUCCUCGCUCUUAUGGACAGAAAACUCAGGAAUGAAUAUGUUUCCCCAUCUUGCGCCCUUUUGCCUGGAAACUAUACAGAGCAGGGGUCCCUGCUGGCAUUCCUUCUUUGUACUAGUACGGCUUCGGAAAGCACUGGUUCUCUGAGGAGCGCUCAGUUGCAUCUGGAAGGUGCAGUGUGCCCAGCAAUGCCCCUUGACACCAAGGUGUGAGCAUUUGAGCUGUGCUGGAAGGUUCUCCGUGGAAUAGUGCCCACCCUGGAGGGUCCUGUGCCGCGCACUUGAGGAGGCUGUGGUGGUGAGGAGAGACUCUGGAGCAACCCACACUCCCGAUAAGUCAGAUGAGAGUGCAUCCUCUAGGCAGUGAAUUCAUGGCAGCGGUCCCCAGCACCCAACCACUGUGACUUCGCCACCAUCUCACCCCAACAGGAGUUACGUUCAGCAGCCUUCACAGGCUGAAUGUUAACCCCAAUUCUUCUGUGCUGAAGAAAUAAGAGUCCAGUGACACCCUUCAGUUUUGGUGCCUGGAUAAAUCUUUACAAAACUCCAGUUAAGACCUGGCUUUACUGUGAGGCAACCUGAACAGAAGCAGAAAUUGCCACUGGAGAGAUCCUAACUCUUACAGAUUGGAAUGAAGCCAGCGUGCUCACAAUGACAGUCUGAGAUUAUUGCUUGGAUGGUGCUCCAGAUUGUGUGAGAUGUUCACAGAAACUGAAAGGAAAAAAUAUAUGAAGAUGCCAAGAAGGACACAGGUAUGAGCACGUCACUCAUACAAGAGAAAACUGGGAAAUGUUCAAACUUAUUUGCUAACAAAAGUCAUAAAGUGUAGCAGCACUCAGCCACGUGUCUUUGAAAGGUAUUUUUCGAGCAUUGAUUUUUGUCAUGUGUGUUUGCAGAUUCAGAAAAUACAGCAAUGAAAGAAGCAGGCUAGUCCCUGUUUUCAUGGGGGUUACAUCCUAGUGGGAAGAUAUAGGAAAACGAACAAAGAAAUACACAGCAUGUCAGGUAACAUGGUCAGAUGGGCUUGGAGCUGACAUCCGAAGCCGUGUGGGCGUGGUCUACCCUGAAUCCGCAGAGGGAGCACUCCAGGUAGAGUCAGGGACAAGUGUUCCAUCAGGGUGUUCUACAAGUUCAAGGACCAGAAGGAGGCGGUGUUGUGGGAGCAGAAGGAGAACCUGGGACAAAACCAGAUGAUGAGGCCGGACGGGAGGUGGGCCUGGUCCCCGUGCUAAGUGGGAUGGGAAGUCCUGCCAAUGAAGUCACACAGUGUCAGGUAUUUGGGAUUUGCCUUGUUUCAGACAAAAUUAUGUCUAUGAGCUCCAUCCAGGUUGUUGCACGUAAUAGCGGCUCGUUCAUUUUUAUUGCUAUCUUGCUCCAUUAUGUGACACCAUCACAGUUUAUCAAUUCUACUGUUUUAUUUACGUUUGGGUGGUUUUCAGUUUUGCCUACUAUGAAUAAUACUGCAAUGAACAUUCCUUCGUUUGUCUUAUGUUGCACAUACAUUUUCACUAGUUUGCGUUUGAGAUCUAGGAGUGGACUCUCCUUAUCACUGGGCGUUUGUGAUAGAGUCACUCCUAUGAGCAGCAUGGCGUGCACUUUUCCGUGGUUCAUAUCCUCAACUACUUUUGGUAUUGUCAACCUUUUCAAAUUUGGCCAUUCCGAUGGGCAUGGGGUUUACCGAUGAUGGUUUUAUUUCUCAAUUUUCAGAUGACAAAUAAGAUGAAGUGUCUUUUUAAAUGCAUUAUGAGCCCUGUUACUAUCCUCUUUUGUCCAGGAUCUUUUAAAGUCUCUUGAUGUGUUUACUAUUUAAUUGUUUCUUUUUUAAUCUGUAGAGAUGUUGUGGAUUCAAGCCCUUUGGCAGAUAUUUUUGUUGCAAAUAUCCUUUCUCUGUGUGUGUGUGUGUUUCUGGCUUGCUUUCUAUUUCUAAACAGUUUCUGGUGAUAAAUAGAAAUAUUUAACUUCAGUGUAGUGCAAUUUAUCAGUCUUUUCUUUUACAGAUUGUGUGUGUGUGUGUGUGUAUUUCCCUACCUUAAGCUCAUAAGUUUUUACUUCUAGAUCGACUCUUAGGUAAUUAAUGUUUCACCUUACAUUUAAUAUAUAAACUACUUACAUUUACAUUUAUAAUAUAUAAACUACUACACAUUAAUUUAUGAGUAUGGUAUAAAGUUAGUCAAACUUGCCAAACUACACACACACACACACACACACACACAGACGUACACUACACACACACACAGACAUACACUACACACACACACAGACAUACACUACACACACACACACAGAGACAUACACAGAGAGAGCUGGGAUUUUUAUUGGGAAUUCAGUAAGUCUAUUGAUCAAUUUGAAAAUAAAUAACAUAUUUUAGUAUUGACUUCUCAAUUGAUAAACAUAUUAUGUCUUUCCAUUUAUUUAGAUGUUUUAAAAAUGUCCUAUCAAUAAUAUUUACAGUUUUCUGUAGGAGAGUUAAAUAACUUUUAGCUAUAUUUCUGGGUCUGUGUUGUAUUUGAUGCUACUAUAAAUGCUAUAUUCAAUUAAAAUUCUCUUUUCAAUUAGUUUUUGACAGAUUGUGACAGGAUCACCUUGAUUUCUGUCUGAUAAUAAAGUGUGAGGAGCAAAAAAAACCCACUCGAGGGGGCAAGUGUAAUAAUCCGCACCAGACACGGCAGGUAGUGGAGGAUGGUGGUGAGACAUAGCUAGAGUCUGACUAUAUUUGAAGGUAUAGGUGACAAAAUUCUAUGUUGGGUCACAUAUAGAGUAGAAAAAAUAGAAGACUUAAUGACAACUUUGACACCUUAAAGCAAACUGAAUAAUAUAGUUAUUAUUUAUUAAGGUGGGGAAGACUGCUGGAGAAGUUUGGAGAUAAGUAUUGAGAGCUUGCUUGAAGACAUUAAGAGUGAGAUGUUUCUUAGACAUCUAAGUGGAAAGAGUGAGGAGACAGUUGGAUUUACAAGACUGUAAUUCAGGAGAGAGGUAUGGACUGGAGGAUUUUGUGAAUCAUCAGUGCACAGUUAGUAUUUUUAAAUAACGGGCUGCAUAAUAUUAUCUGAAGAGUGAAAGUGAAAGAAACACCCAGUGAGGUAGAAGCAAAACUAAGAGAGAUCUUCCAAGAACUCAGUAAAAUGUUUGAAGAAAAGCUGUUGAUCAAAUCUGUCUAUUAUGAAUAGGCCAAGUCAUCUAAGUUCAAUGAAUUGUCCAUUUGUUUAUGUUAUGGGCUGUAGUUUCUGCUUCCAAAAUUCAUAGGUGGCAAUCCUAACCCCUGUACUUCAAAAUAUGACUGUAUUUGGAGAUAAGGCCUUUAAAGAGGCAAUUAAGUUACAAUGAGGACAUUAUGGGAGGACCCUAAUUCAAUAUGGCUGGUGUCUGUAUAAGAAGAGGAGGUCAGAACAUAGACACACAGAGGAGAGAUGCCCUGAGCAAGUAGACAGCCUGUUAUAGGCUAAGGAGAGAGAACUCAGAAGAGACCAACUCUGCUGGUAUUUUAAUCUUGGACUUCCAGCCUCCAGAAACGUGAGAAAAUAAGAUUCUGUUGUUUAAAGUCCCCAGUCUGUGGUACUUUGUUCUGACAGCCCUAGCAAGCUAAUGCUAACUUGUCAAAGCACAUGUGGUUACCAGGCACAAUGCUGUGGCAGACAUAGCUGGUUAGUGACCCAAUAUCUACUUCUUCAUUCUCUACUAAGUUGGCCUUGUUUGGAUGACCAUGUACCUGUCUUUAAAAGAAAAUUUAUUAUUGGCCUUUACCCUUUGCAUGUAAUCAGUCCAGAGAGCAUGUUCUGACAAGAGAUGUAAGAGGUUCUAUGCUAAGGUUUUGGAGGGAGGGCUUGCUCUUUGAUGAAGGAGAGAUGUAGGAGAGGAGAUGUCUUCUCUUCUUUCACUUUCACUCGCUAGAGACGAAGGAGAGAAUAAAGCCCUAAUACUGCCAUGCUCCUUGCACCUCUUUUAUAUGUUCACAGCCACGUAAUAAAACUAGAAGUCCACAACUAAAAAAGGGCUUCCUUCUGAUCUUUUCAAAAUCAAACAACCCAUAUUUAGUUCAGUGGUUAAAGAAGAGAUCACAACGGAAUUACAAACAUGCACACCAAAAUCAUGCAUAAAAAUCACAGUAAAUCAAACUUAGGAGAGAAGGCCAGAGCCAAAUUCAACACUCUUCAGAGGAAGAUAACAGAAGCCAGAGUCUCUACAAUGUAUUUUAUGUAAACUCCAGCACGUAUUUUGUAAAAUGUCAUCAAAGAUAAAGCAGUAAGUAUCAAAGAAUCAAGAGAGAAAACAGAUGAUUGAAGCAGAUCAAAAGUAACUUAGGUUUUGUUAUUAGCAGAUGAGAACUUCAAAAAAACUAUAAUUAGCAUUAAAUAAAGCAGGGGAUAAUAUGGGCAAAUGAAGAAGAAAAAGCCUGAGCGAAAAGUAACCCCAAAUAUUCAUUCUAAAAUGGAAAGCUAUAAUAUAUCAAAUGUGUGUGAAUGUAUAAAGAAAGAGGGAGUAAGUGUGUGUGUGUGUGUGUGUGUGUGUAGAGAAAGAGGGAAUAAUAAACUUAAAAGUUAAAGCAGAAAAAAGGAUCUUUAGCUUGAAAAAAAAUCAGAAUACAGUGUCUCAACUAAAAGAUAAAAAGAAAAAGAAUAGAAACAACAGAAUAGAGCAUGGGAGAGAUAAGGAGCAUUGUGUGAAUGAAAAAUGAUAAAAUAGGAGCUUUAUUUUGAAAAAUUAUAAUCCAAAACUUUCCAAAUAAUAAAAGAUCUUGACUCACAGAUUUAAGAAACUCAGCAAACUAAAAAAAAUUGCAAUUCAUCACAUCAUUGUCAAACUGUUCAAAACCAAAGAUAAAGAGAAAAUAUUAAAAGAGCUUGGGGUGGGAGGUGGGGCCUGCAUUACAUUAGGGGAACAACUCUGAAGAGAGAAGACAACGAUGUGACUAUUUAAAGCUCUGAAAUUCUAUACACACAGAAAAAGUGUUCUAAAACUAAAGGGAAGCAACGAUAUUCUUAGACACACAUAAAAAAAAGCUGAGAGUAUUUACUUCUAUCAGGUUUCAUGCUAUUAUAAGUAUUUUAAAAUCUUCGUGUAUAAAGAAAAUGAUUCCAGAAAGAAGCAGAGAGCUGC